CCAGACUCCUACGGGAGGCAGCAGUGGGGGAUAUUGCACAAUGGGGGGAACCCUGAUGCAGCGACGCCGCGUGGGUGACGAAGUAUUUCGGUAUGUAAAGCCCUAUCAGCAGGGAAGAAGAUGACAGUACCUGACUAAGAAGCCCCGGCUAACUACGUGCCAGCAGCCGCGGUAAUACGUAGGGGGCAAGCGUUAUCCGGAUUUACUGGGUGUAAAGGGAGCGUAGGUGGCAUGGCAAGCCAGAAGUGAAAACCCGGGGCUUAACCCCGCGGAUUGCUUUUGGAACUGUCAGGCUGGAGUGCAGGAGGGGCAGGCGGAAUUCCUGGUGUAGCGGUGAAAUGCGUAGAUAUCAGGAGGAACACCGGUGGCGAAGGCGGCCUGCUGGACUGUAACUGACACUGAGGCUCGAAAGCGUGGGGAGCAAACAGGAUUAGAUACCCUCGUA
rnacentral:rRNA from 1 species